rnacentral:rRNA from 1 species
GGAGUCUGGGCCGUAUCUCAGUCCCAAUGUGCCCGGUCGCCCUCUGAGGCCGGGUACCCGUCAUUGCCACGGUGGGCCUUUACCCCGCCGUCUAGCUGAUGGGCCGCGGACCGCUCCUCCUGCGAAGCCUUAGCUCCUUUCCCCUUACUCCUCUAACAAGUAAGGGCUCAUCCGGUAUUACUCCGUGUUUCCACGGGCUGUCCCCGUCAGAAGGGUGCGUCAUCCACGUGUUACUCACCAGUCCGCCGCUCUCAGAAAUAGCAAGCUACUUCUUCCCGCUCGACUUGCAUGCUUAAGACGCGCCGCCAGCGUUCGUU